UGGGGAAUAUUGGGCAAUGGGCGCAAGCCUGACCCAGCAACGCCGCGUGAAGGAAGAAGGCUUUCGGGUUGUAAACUUCUUUGACAGGGGAAGAGGCGAAGACGGUACCCUGAAAACAAGCCACGGCUAACUACGUGCCAGCAGCCGCGGUAAUACGUAGGUGGCAAGCGUUGUCCGGAUUUACUGGGUGUAAAGGGCGUGCAGCCGGGAAUACAAGUCAGAUGUGAAAUCCCGCGGCUCAACCGCGGAACUGCAUUUGAAACUGUAUUUCUUGAGUACUGGAGAGGCAGACGGAAUUCCUAGUGUAGCGGUGAAAUGCGUAGAUAUUAGGAGGAACACCAGUGGCGAAGGCGGUCUGCUGGACAGCAACUGACGGUGAGGCGCGAAAGCGUGGGGAGCAAACAGG
rnacentral:rRNA from 1 species